GAGUGUAUCGACAGCCGUCAUCACAAAGCACCUGCAUAUAAUAUCUCUCUCCAUUCACUCUCUAGACUCUUGUUCAUCUUCCGCUUUCUCUCUCUCGCUGCCGUUACCAAACCUCCAUUUUCUUCGUCGCUCUUUCCGCCAUCGCUGAUGGAUGCCGCCCCGCCGUCGUAGUCGUCCUCAGAGUUGUCGACAGGCGCCUCCACCGCUUUCGCAGAAUGGAGGAAUCCCUCCCCUCGCCAGGGCGAAUUAAAUCUCUCAACAAGGAGCAGAAGGCGCUCCUCAACUCCAAGCCGUCUCUUAUGGCCGCUGUAAAGGAGCUGGAGAAUCUCCUCCGCGCCUCUUCGCUUUCCCACGCUGUUGCCAGCGAAAUUGAACUUUCAUUCGCCUUGGUUAACGAAAGGGAAAGGGAAAAGAAGAAGGCGCGCGUUGCUGCUGUUUCCGAUCUCCUUAGUCUGCUGUACGCUGGAAAUAUUCUUGAUGUUAAUGAUCUGACGGGGAGACAGCAAUUUUUGAUGAUUCGGAUGUUGCAGAGGAGAGAAGCUCUUGUAGCUGUUUUCUGCAUGAUGCAUGAUUCCAUCAUCAAGCAAGAUUUUUGUCCUAAGAAGUUGGAUUUAGACCUGAUUAUUACGACCAUCAUUAUUUCCCUUUUCCUGGUUGGCUACUCAGCAUUGAUUCACAAACAUGCAUUCCCUAUCCCUUACUGCGUUGAGCUCCAUCAAAGAAAAUGUGGGGAAGCCCUCCAUCACUGACAGUUGGACGUGCAAGUCUAUGCAGAUUUGUAUGACAAACCUUGCAAUGAAGGCUGCUGCAUAGGCAUUCUCAGUCCUCAGCGUCAACAACAGGUGCCUCCAUGCUAUGCAAAAGAAACUCAACCGCAUUGACAGAAUGGAGGAGUCCCUCGCCAGGGAAAAAUCUCUCAAAAAAGAGCAGGAGGCGCUAUUCAACUCUAAUCCGUCCAUUCUGGCUGGAAUAAAGGAAUUGGAGAAUCUUCUCCCCUUGCUGUCCGGUCUGUUGGUGGGGAAUUUGAACUUUUGAAGUUCAAGAAUCUUCAAUGCCUUGGGUAGAGAAAGGGAAAGGGAAAAGGCACGCGUGACACCUGUUUCUGAUCUUACUAGCCUAUUGUACUUGGAGAAAGUUUUUGGCGUGAAGGAUUUGAUGAGGAUGCAGCAAUCUUUGAUGAUUAGAAUGCACGAGAGGAGCAGCUGCCUCUUACAUAAUUCUUUCAUUGGCUUGCGGGAUGAUUAAGAAAAUCUUUUAAAGGAGUUGGAUUUUGACCUGAUUAAUAUACCAUGAAAUUUGUUCGUUCCUUGGAUUGGCAACUUGUUGAUGCCUCACAAUCAUGUUUUGCGGAAAUGCAAUGGCUUGAUACUUCCGACUAGCCUAUUGAAGCUAGACUCAAUGUUUCUUGAGGACAAAUCACGGCAUUCUGAUGCCAAAAAAGAUGCAUGAUUAUGAAUUCUCCUACCAUACUACAAAUAAUUGUCAGGAAGGAUUAUAUAUGUAUGUAUAUAUAUAUAUAUCAGACCACAUGGCUCAUUCUCACCAGAGGAUACUUGAUCGUAGAAAGAUAUAUCAAAAUUCAAAGAAACUUGAGAAUGAUUACGCUCGAAGGAUUUGGUGCAGCCAAUUUUGUUGCCCAAAGUGGCAAAGGUUUGCUAAGCAACCUCAAUUCUACAAGUGUGUGUGUUUGGGAGCUUGUUGUGGCUAUCUUUUUUAGAUUUCUAUGAAGUUUUGUAUGAUAUAGUUAUCUGCAAUUCUUGUAAAUUUUUUUUACUUGAACUCUUGUCAACUGCCAUAUAUAA